CACGGGGGGAGCAAGCGUUGUUCGGAAUCACUGGGCGUAAAGGGCGUGUAGGCGGUUUGGUAAGUGGGAUGUGAAAUGCCUCGGCUCACCCGAGGACCGGCAUCCCAAACUGCCAAGCUUGAGUAUGGGAGAGGAUGUGGGAAUUCCUGGUGUAGCGGUGAAAUGCGUAGAUAUCAGGAGGAACACCGGUGGCGAAGGCGCACAUCUGCCCCAAUACUGACGCUGAGGCGCGAAAGCUAGGGGAGCAAACGGG
rnacentral:rRNA from 1 species